CUCACUUAAAUGUCUGCUUGUUGGAUUGCUCAAAAGCGUCAGUCUUUGCAUGCUCAGAGAAAGAAAUUCUUGGAAAACAGGGACUGCAGAAGAGAUUUUUCGAAUCAUUGCUCUCUUGGAUUGAGUCCAGGCAAGAGGAAACCAGUCACGUAUAGUCUAAUGUCUCCUACAUACACAAAAUACAUAACUGUCUCCAGAAACUUCAGUAAAGACCCAUGGAUGCCAGCAACAGCACACAAAAUUCGAGAGAUUUUCUCUUACUGAAUGCUUCACUCCUUCAGUGUAACUGUUUACCUCUGUGCAGAAAGAGCCUGCAAUUGACUCCUCUAUUGACUGAAACUAUGUGUAAUGUGUAGAAGGAAACACUGUGGCAAACAAUACCAAGAAAAACCAUGAAAAGAUGAAGACAGAGCAGCACAAGCUCCUGUACAAUGAUGGAAGAAGCAUAGGAAGAAACAGCAUGAAAAGCCUAUCUCAGCUCUUUCCACAUGAAAUCUCUUUCCCUUUACUCAGAAAAUAUGACUUCCAGAUCCUAAAACACUAUCAAAGGCUUGAAACAAAUGCUGAGGCAAAUACCAGGACAGUUUUGAAGGUCAACACUGUCAUCAACUUGGUUCUGAAGGUUUUGGCAUACAAAAUUAGUGGAAUAUUUAAUGUGAAUGACUCAAGAGCAGAGCUGCUGGCAGUUGGCUUUCCUUUUGCUGGUUUGUGUAUCUCACAGUAUGAAAUAUUCUACAUCAUGUUUUGUGGUCUUUUUUUUUUUUUUCUGAAAAAAGAUGACAUCACCUUCUUUUCUGCUUAAAAAUGUCGUACGUUAUAUAGCUCUAUUUAAAGUAACAAACAGGACUUAUUUCAGCGUUUUGAGCUGACUGUUGUCAAAGAGUAAAACACAAUAAAAACAAAUCAAAGCCAUAAAGUUCAUCUCAUUUAACAAAUAGCAGUAACUAUCUUAAAAGUGACUGGCUUUUUAUGGAUAUUUUGAGUGUCUGCAGGAGGCUGCUUUCCAUUCCCACAAUAAGAUUAGUGAGGGAGGAAAAGUGGAAGGGUUGCUGAUACCACAGUGCUUAUUCUUGUGCAAAUACUGAUUCAGAAGCUCCAUUAUUUUUCAGAGAUUUUCCUCAAAAAAUACUUCUUUUUUUUUCUUUUUUGGCACCAUAAGGAAAAAAAUGGUAGUUGCAGAGGAAAAAAAACUAGGAAGGCAAAAUCAUAGUUUUGAAGAACUGACUAAAUUUAAACUUACACAUGUGUAGAUUUUGCUUCCAAUUUAAGAAGUUCAAAGAGAUAUAUUGCUGCUAGAUAUGACAGCAAAAGUAAUAUUGCCACUAUGCUCCAUUAUCAUUCUGUACAAAAUCAAUAUCAAAACAACCUAAGUCUAGACGCAUAAAUGUCAAACUAUUUAACAAGAAGCAGUUAGUGCAGAAAAAAACACUUAAAUGGCAAUUGAGGUAGUCUGAUGGGUCUUAAAGUAGCUUACCAGGAUUUAUGUAAGAUAAAAACAGUUUAACUAAGCAUGUAGAACAAAGCCUGAGGGCUUAUGGCUAAGAACAAUAUCAGAAGAACAUCUAAGCUCUUUAUCGUACCUGUCAGGUCCUAGUACUUGGCUGUUCUGUCAAAGGUAGAAGGCCUUCUAAAUUUCCUAAUUUCCUCUUUGGUUUUGUGUUUUAGGUUACUUAAUAAGAUUACCGUUUACCUACUACUCAUAAGACAGAGUGCCCAGUUCAGAAAAACACAUUUGGGUUACUCCUGCUACUUUUAUGAAAUCUAUCAUUUUCAGAGUGCGUUCUUCUCCACAUUUUCCAUAUUGUUUCCGGUUGAGAACUGGCAGUGAGAUUAUUAGCAAGUAAUAUACGCCAAUAAAUAGAAUUUUGUUGUGAGAUACACAACAGAAAUUAGCACUUAACUAAAACACCUAAACACUUACGCUCGUUCCAGUUAAAGAAACAAGAGGGCUAGAAGAACUGAAAAAUAUAGAGGGAUUUUCAAAUUGAAGCAUGUAACUUAAUAAUGACCAAAUAAUUUGCAUUUUUUAAAAUUAUCAUUUCAUUUUUACUGCCUUUCAUUUGGCUCUCAAAUUGACCCAAAAUAAAAAAAGAAAAUUAAACAUAAUUAGGGCUUAGGUUGAACAACGUAAUUUUAGUUGGUUCGCAAUUCAUUUUUAUUUGUUCACAAUUUAUUGUUGCUCUGUGUAGCACCAUAAGACUUCUUCAUUCUUGUAUGAAUCAUGUUUUUUUCUGUUGUGGUCACAAAACAAAAAGAAAUCCAUCAUUAACCCAUCAGAAAUUAAAUCAAGUUGGGGUACUGCCUUGCUGAAGAAAAAGUACAUUCAGUGUAAAUAGAACUAAAGGGGAUUUUACUAUUGAAUAAAUAUUUCAUUUCACAGCCUUCAGGAGAAGCUAUUACCAGAUGUCCUGUAGCACAGUGAAAUUUGUUGCUGAUUUUUCUGACUACAGGAGAGGGUCUAUGCUUUUACGCAGGAAAGUUUGUCAAGUAAUUAAAUAAAUACAUAUUUCAAUACAAAGCCACUCUAACUUCAGAUCAUGUAUUAUUUUUUGAGGAUAGGAUAGUUAUAAGCAAUUUACAUUAUUCAGAUCAAAUAUCUCAUUGAAGUAUUCAAACUAUGAAAAUGAGAAUGAAAAAUUCUUGAAAUGACUGGUUCUGGAAAAAAACUCUUGCACCUUGGAUUUGCUGUAACUUGCUCAAGAAGAGGAGAUGCAGCGCUACAGGGAAUAAUGCAAAUUGUUAUACAUUCAGGAGUGUUCUGUGUGGCUUUCAAGAGGUGCCCAUAUGGCCAGCUUCUUAAGAGUCACAGGUAACUGAGUAGAAGAAAUGAAAGGCUGCAGGUGUGAGAGAAGUAACACUGCUCCUCUGCUCAUGUUGUCUCCAAAAGCAGAUAUUUCACACCCAUACCCAGAAGAGCUUCUUGUGGUUUGGAGCUGAUUCAGGCUAUCCAAAUGGGUAAAAACUCUUUUUUUUUUUUUUUUUUCUUGAACUGUACCUCAUAGAACAAGGAAUAACAAAUUUUUGACAAAGUGCAGGGUAUUUUUUAAGCUAAUUGAUAACUGCCUUGUUUAUGCUGAGUGAUGAUCAUGAAGAUAACCAAACAAUGCCUAAUUUUAAUUACGAUAGCAAUCCCAUUUAGUCAGGGAUAAUUAUAGACUUAAUGUUAGGAAAAGAUUUAAGGAUUUUGCAAUUAUUGUAUUGUCUCCAAUAUAAUUGUAUUCUGCUUAUGACACUCUGGUGUAUUGAUGUGAACUCACAAUUUAUGGCCAGCUGUAUUCCACUGAUUUGUGAUUUCAUGAAUAGAAACAAUUCACUUUAAGCUGGGAGAUGCUGAUCUGCAGAAAAGGAUUGGAGUGCUCUACUGCUUCAGUGGUAACAUAUAUUUGCACAAACAAACUUCAGACUUCACAGCAACCUCAAAAAACUGCACUGCCCAACUGCUAAAGUUAACUGUGAAGUCUCUAUUUGAUGAUGUAUUGUGUUAAUCUGAAGGAGUCUGCAUCACAACUGUUUUAGAGCAUGUUGCUUAAGUCUCCCAUUUCUGAUCGUACCCUUGAAGACAGUUUUAAUGGGAAAAGCUUUGUGCCUGAGGAAAAAGGUAUUCUCCCAUGCUCUUUACCAUUUUUGCCGAAGUCCUUCCAAGGCUUAAUACAUCUUCUGAACCUCUGAGAUGGAAGUGAUAUUGAAGGAAUAUUGAAGAAUGUAAAAUGAUUUCUCCAGAAAGCCGUCACCCAUCCUUUCUGUUCACUCUUAAGAAAAUUUAUGUAAAUAAUCAGUGCAGACUGUUUGCUGUUUCCUCUUCAACCCCACAACCUCAAUUAUUUCUACAGAUUAGCAGGAUCUCUGUUCUGCAGAAAUCCAUUAGAGUAAGGAAGUGGGCUCCCCGUCUGUCUCCCUAAGUAAAGAAAUUCUCCUGUAAAAAACUGAGAAUCAUAGAAUAUCCCAAGUUGUAAGGGACCCAGAAGGAAGAUCGAGUCUAACUCCUGCAUGCAACUGAGUGAAACAGAAAGGACACCAAGAAUGCCUUCAGGAGUGCAAGAGCUACAUGGGACCAAUUCCAGUUUCUUUUUCCAAGGAAUAUAAGAUGUACUUACUGAUUCUCCUGGUUGCCAGACUUGGGAAAUUUGUUGAAUGUGACACAUCUAGCUCCACAGCCAGCAUGACAGGAAAAGCAAAGGACAGCUGGCAUGAGGAAGGCAGCAGAGAGGAAUCAAG